rnacentral:rRNA from 1 species
CACGGUAAACGAUGGAUGCCCGCUGUUUGCGAUAUACUGUGAGCGGCCAAGAGAAAUCGUUAAGCAUCCCACCUGGGGAGUACGCCGGCAACGGUGAAACUCAAAGGAAUUGACGGGGGCCCGCACAAGCGGAGGAACAUGUGGUUUAAUUCGAUGAUACGCGAGGAACCUUACCCGGGCUUGAACUGCCAGCGAACGAUUCAGAGAUGAUGAGGUCCUUCGGGACGCUGGUGGAGGUGCUGCAUGGUUGUCGUCAGCCCGUGCCGUGAGGUGUCGGCUUAAGUGCCAUAACGAGCGCAACCCUUUUCUUUAGUUGCCAUCAGGUAAUGCUGGGCACUCUGGAGAUACUGCCACCGUAAGGUGUGAGGAAGGUGGGGAUGACGUCAAAUCAGCACGGCCCUUACGUCCGGGGCUACACACGUGUUACAAUGGGGGGUACAGAGAGUCGGAUAUACGCAAGUAUGUUCUAAUCCUUAAAGCCUUCCUCAGUUCGGAUUGGGGUCUGCAACCCGACC